rnacentral:piRNA from 1 species
AAACUGCAUGCUAAACUUAGUUCUUCUGGA